GACGAACGCUGGCGGCGUGCCUAACACAUGCAAGUCGAACGGGAUCCAUGGAGUGCUUGCACUCCGGAAGAUCUAGUGGCGAACGGGUGAGUAACACGUGAGAAACCUGCCCCAGACUCUGGGAUAACCUCGGGAAACCGAAGCUAAUACCGGAUAUUCUCCUUUGGUCGCAUGGCCAGUUGAGGAAAGUUUUUCGGUCUGGGAGGGUCUCGCGGCCUAUCAGCUAGUUGGUGGGGUAACGGCCCACCAAGGCUACGACGGGUAGCUGGUUUGAGAGAACGAUCAGCCACACUGGAACUGAGACACGGUCCAGACUCCUACGGGAGGCAGCAGUGGGGAAUCUUGCGCAAUGGGCGAAAGCCUGACGCAGCAACGCCGCGUGCGGGAUGAAGGCCUCGGUUGUAACGACUUUCUAGCAGGACGAAAUAGACGGUAACCGUCGCAGAAGAAGACCCGGCCGUAACUACGUACGCCACGCAGCCGCGGUAACGUAGUGUGUGUA
rnacentral:rRNA from 1 species